CGUGGCAACACAGCCGGGACCCGUGACGUCACUUCCGGGGGAAGUAGACAGCCCAGGGGGACGGAUGCCGGGCCCGGGAUGUGUGGGCAGCAGUGACCAGCAUGGGGGAGACUAUAGGGAUUCACUCCAACGGUCAUCAACUGAAUUCUCGAUUAACCCUAUUGAUUCACUCCAACGGUCAUCAACUGGAUUCUCGAUUAACCCUAUUGG